rnacentral:rRNA from 1 species
UACGUAGGGGGCGAGCGUUGUCCGGAUUUAUUGGGCGUAAAGAGCUCGUAGGCGGCUUGGCAAGUCGGGUGUGAAGCCUCCAGGCUCAACCUGGAGACGCCACUCGAUACUGCCAUGGCUAGAGUCCGGUAGGGGACCACGGAAUUCCUGGUGUAGCGGUGAAAUGCGCAGAUAUCAGGAGGAACACCGGUGGCGAAGGCGGUGGUCUGGGCCGGCACUGACGCUGAGGAGCGAAAGCGUGGGUAGCAAACAGG